UGCCCACUUCUCUCGGGUGGUCGUCUCGGGUCCUCUGACUCUGCUCAGGAGAAUGAAGAGGAAGAAGUGGAGAAGGAACCUGUGGCUGUUGGAGAAGUAAUGCCUGAAGGAAUGAAAGCUUUGCCUAAGGACGUGCCACCCAAGCUGGAGACUCCCAGAAACCUGUCACCUGUGUUCCUCUCCUUCCUGCAGUCUUGCCUGAACUGGAAUGUGAGGCCCCGAUGGCCCACCAGGCUGCUUCUGCAGCAUCCGUUUUUAGGAAAAUCCAAGAGUCUUGUCGAGAUGGCUCCUCUGAUUGAUGCAGUCAGGAGACCCAGAACAGCGGCACCAGAACCUCUGCUGGCUCCCUCUCUUUCUGGACAAGAGGGGAAAGAAGAGCAAGUAGAGAAGGAAGCUGCAAGU